ensembl:lncRNA
GUGAGAAAAGCAAAGUUCCAAGUGCUAACCCGCUGUGCCCAAGGUCACACAGGUCAUAAGUGAUGGAAGUGAGAUGCAGACCCCAGAGGACUGGACUCAAAGUGAGUUUGUGUUAAACAUCAAAGUAGGUCACACAGCUCCAGGACGAGAGGAGAUGCAGGAUCCAUUUGAUUCCAUCCCCGCCAUGCCCUGGUGUGUUGCUGGAGGGGAGGGAACAGAGGCCCCACGGGUGAGCGGUGACCUUCCCCAGGUCACACGUGGCCAGUCAAGCUAGGAACCAAGGUGUCAAGGAGCGCCUUCUUCACUUACUCAUAUGUCCAUGACUUUCAUCAACUUGUGUUUAAGGGCCGUUCAAGCAGGACAAACCACCGCUUUAAAGCAAUUACUCGGUGAUGAUCAGGAGGGGCCAGGGGAUUCUGUUUGCUUAUGUGUGUGAACCUGAAAUGCCUACUUUCUUAAUUAAGCUUUAACUCUGCCUUUUGCCUCAAGCUUUUCAUUUUUUUCCCCCUCUUUAACAAGUCUCAGCCUUUCUCCAUCACUGGAGGCCUUGGGCUUUGCCUGUUUCAUUUCUCUCUUCUGAGAAGCAUCUUCUCCUGCCCCACUACAAGGAUACCUCCCCUUUCUAGCCCCAGUUCCCAGCUGCUCUUAAUUUCAUGAUUAUCAGCCAUGGGCAGUCUUUCUUGAUGACUCAGAAGCAAGGGAUGCAGGGAAUUCUAUACCUGGGACUCCUCCUUCCCACCCAGCUCCCCUCAGUGCCACUCACCCUUUCUCAAGAACCCAUCCGAGGUCUCGAGCAGCCUUCCCUGAUCAGCACCAAGUUUGUUUGAGGUGCUCCAGGUCUGGCCCUCAUGGCUCUGGUGACUUCGUGAUUUUGGCUUUGAAUCUCCAGCAACUGGCAAUGCAUCUGGUACGCAGGAGAUGCUUGAUAGAUGCUUCUUGAAUGAAUGAAUGCGUGAAGGAAUGAAUGGACAAACUAGGCCAGUGUUCAGCUGCCCAGCCUCACUCCUGCUUAUCACAGAAGACCCCAUCUGGUGCCAUCUGGACGACAGACAUCCAGGCAGCCAUGUGCACACCAGUCCUGCACACACAGUUGCACAAGCAGCCGAGAUUUAAUCCCAGCAAUUCCAACAAGCCUCCAUCAGCUUCCUGUAUGUGAAAAAUGGGGAUGAUCAUAUUAAAUGUGACAAACAUUUAACCAUCUCUGAAGCUGUGAUCUUGGUAGCAGCUGGGAAGAAAUGAUAAAGUGGUGAUAAGGAUGGAAAUCAAAUUUCCUGUCAGAGGAAUUGAUAAAACAUUUCCUUUUGCUAAACAAAGAGAGGUUUUGAUUGACCUGAUGUAUUUUAAGCCUUCAGGGGCCUGUUCUGGAUUCUCAGAUCUGGAAUUGGGAGGCCUGAGGAUUUCCUUCUCUCCAUAUUGCUCCCCUAUUUUCUGGAGAGAUGACGAGACCCACAGAGCAUUCAGGUGUGUCAGUGUGCUUGGAUGUGAAAGCUGCCCUGUCCCUCCCCUCCCCAGCUGAGUCACUUACCCUCUGAGCC